GACGCCGGAUGGGCGGGGCGUCGUGUGUCACCGCCGACGACGCGCCGUUCGCGACGACGCCCAGAAAUAAUAAUAAUAAUAACAAUAUUGUCGUCGUCGGUCGAGUUUUAGCGGGUGUACUGCAGCGGUCAUUAUACCACUUUUCCGUGGAAACGAAAUUCCGUUACGACCACGCGCUGGGUGUUGUUCGUGGUAUCCAUCAUAACUUAUAACUUAUAAGGUACUGCGAAUGCUGGCUGGCAGUAGCCAGUACGUGUACUUGCCUAUACCUAUAUAUGAAUCAAAAACUCGUUCGAUCGUCAUAGAAUUAUACUGUAGAUUCAAAUUUAAGAUAACAGCAACAGCUCAACAUUAUAAUAUAAAGAAGGAACCAUGGUAUUUUCAGAACGCCAUCUGAAGAGUUGCAGUGUACCUACAUCAUUAAUUAUUCGAAUAUUAAAAAUUAUAAUAUUAUUAUUAUUAUUAU